rnacentral:rRNA from 1 species
UAGUCCACGCCGUAAACGAUGGAUACUAGCUGUUCGACUUCGGUUGAGUGGCUAAGCGAAAGUGAUAAGUAUCCCACCUGGGGAGUACGUUCGCAAGAAUGAAACUCAAAGGAAUUGACGGGGGCCCGCACAAGCGGUGGAGCAUGUGGUUUAAUUCGAUGAUACGCGAGGAACCUUACCAGGGCUUAAAUGUAAGUUGCAUGAUUUAGAGAUAGAUCUUUCUUCGGACUACUUACAAGGUGCUGCAUGGUUGUCGUCAGCUCGUGCCGUGAGGUGUCAGGUUAAGUCCUAUAACGAGCGCAACCCCUGUUGUUAGUUGCCAGCGAGUCAAGUCGGGAACUCUAGGGAGACUGCCGGCGUAAGCCGCGAGGAAGGUGGGGAUGACGUCAAAUCAUCACGGCCCUUACGUCCUGGGCUACACACGUGCUACAAUGGUAGAGACAGAGGGCAGCCACCUGGUGACAGGGAGCGAAUCCUUAAACUCUAUCUCAGUUCGGAUCGAAGU